rnacentral:rRNA from 1 species
GCAAUCAAUAAGCGGAGGAAAAGAAACCAACCGGGAUUGCCUCAGUAACGGCGAGUGAAGCGGCAAAAGCUCAAAUUUGAAAUCUGGCGCCCGCCCGAAUUGUAAUUUGAAGAAGCGACUUUGGACCUGGCUCUUGUCUAAGUUCCUUGGAACAGGACGUCAUAGAGGGUGAGAAUCCCGUUAGAUGAGAUGCCCAGGGCCGUGUAAAGCGUUUUCGACGAGUCGAGUUGUUUGGGAAUGCAGCUCUAAGUGGGUGGUAAAUUCCAUCUAAAGCUAAAUAUUGGCGAGAGACCGAUAGCGAACAAGUACAGUGAUGGAAAGAUGAAAAGAACUUUGAAAAGAGAGUGAAAAAGUACGUGAAAUUGUUGAAAGGGAAGGGCUUGUGAUCAGACUUUGCAUUUCUAUGGCUUCCUUUCGGGGGGGUCCUCUGGAGUUGUAGGGCCAGCAUGGGUUGGAGGGGUGAGAUAAUGGGGAAGGAAUGUGGCUCUGCCUCGGUAGAGUGUUAUAUCCUUUUCUGAUGUCACCACCUUCGACCGAGGACUGCGGUACUAGGAUGC